ACAGCAGAAUAUCUGUGGUACAUCUUUCUAGAGCAUCAAUUUUACUACAAGAUUUGGAAGAAGCAAAGUUAAUUAUUUCCAAGGGAAAAGAAGUGAAUGCUAUUUAUCGAGCACUAUUAUGUGCCAGGCACUGUGCUAGAUACAUUCAAGAAGUCCUGUGCCAAAAAGGUUGAAGCUCAGCCUAGAGAAUACGCCAAAAAGGCUGCCAUGAAAUUUUCAAUCAAGGACCCUUCCAGAACUCUUCAAUGACCUCACCAAGCAUUCUGACUCUAAGAAUAAAGCUCAAGAGUCCCACCCUAAAUGAGAUCUCUGUCCCCUAUGCCUGGGGAUGGCCUGAGAGGACAGAAGCCCAGAGCAAACUGCAGCUCAGGGAAUCUUCUUUCCAUGGCACCCGAUCCCUGGGCAAGGAGACGCGACCCAGCAGCUCAGGAGUGGGUGCACUAAAGUGAGUUCCAAACAGCUCUGGUUAUCAAAGAGGCUGUUAGCAGAACUUUGUGACAUCAUCUGCAAAAAGAGGGAAAAAUGCAAAGGAGAAAUGGUAUUGAACCGUCUCCCCUCCUCCACAAACACAGAAGAAAGAAGAAGAGCAGGAGAGGGGCGAAGUGCCCCAGGGACAACAGUCCAGUCUCUGAAGUUUCGCCCAGGUCAGGGUGGAAGGACUGGCCUGCAGCCAGGGCCGACCUCUCCUCUUGGCUCCCAGGCAGCUCCAAGCCCUCCUUUAAGCCCAGCAGUUAUUUUGGAUGUGACGCUUUUGAAUGCCAUGGAGAAAGUCUACUGACCCUGGCCUAGAGCAGUGAUUCAACCUUCAGUGCAUCAGCAUCUGCCGCAGGGCUUUCACAACACCCUUGUCAGCCCCACCCAGAGCUGGGAGUGAUCCAGGCUGCCGAGUGCAAAGCCUCAGGCCACAACACACUGCCCAUGGCCAUCAGAGCAGCCUCCUGCACUAGAGCCUCGCUGGUCACGGUACUUCUCCCUCACCGGUCCGUGAGGAUUGCGUGGGUGAACAGGGGCAGCCCUGGGCCCGCACACGGCAGGCUCUCCAUGAGUACCCUGUCAGGCCUGGUCUGUGGUGAGGCCGCGGGGCAGCUCCUGUGGGUGGAGCAUCCUUUGGUCCUGGCAUGGGAUGGGAAUGGCCUACUCCAACCGUCAGCAUGACCUCCAGGCUCCAUAUCUUCUAUGUGGAAAACACGUCAAAGAGCAGGAGCAGUGACUUAGCUGGAGAGCAUCCCAGUAGGAGGAGAAGAAAAAUCGUGUUUCUUCCCCAGGAACACCGCAUGCCCGGGAGUAAGCCGCAUUCUUCUGUAACAGUGAUAUCAGGAAUGCCCGAAACUCCAGCACACUGUUAACGUGUUUGAAACCAGGUCUGUUUCUUGUUUUAUAUUUUCUCUCUGGAAAUUGCAAGGAGAUGGUCUUUAAAGAAAUAAACAAAAAUAGGCAGAAACAAAAACAAACAAACCUGGGUUUGGGGCCCAGGUGGGCCCACAGUGAAUUAUGUUGGCCAUCAUCCCUGGAAGAGCCUGCCGUCUUGAGGCAUCUAGGUCCACACCCCCGCUCAGUGCACGGGGGUCGGCAGCCAGGUACUUGCUCAGACCAGGGUGGACUCAGAGGGUCAACUCCUCCUCGCUGAAGCCCACUCCGUGCACAGCACCCCUGAGCCCCAUGCCCCUGUCCCACAAAAGGGUGGCCAGGCUCCGUCACAGCUCUCAGGAAUACAGGCUGUUCAGACCCAGGAAGGGUUCCCACUGCUCCCGCCCCUAGGGUCGCCACAUGUGCGUGGGGUGGGACUGCUGGCCACGGGCUGCUGUCCUCCCAUGGGGGCUGCCUUCUGCUGUCUCCAACCAAGGUGCCCACAGGGAAAAAUGGACCUGCAGGGCCAGCCCAGGCCACCGUGUGGUGCCUUCCUGCCCAGGCUAUGGCUGCCUUUGGAGCGGGAGACCCUCCUGCCUCAUCUGCCCCUGGCCCCUGCUGCUGUGCCAGCUCCCACAACUGCACGGUGCCAGGAACCCACCCGGUGAGGGGUCUUGCUGGAGCGGGCCCCCUGGGGCAGUGGUCAUUGCAGCAGAGGGACCCAGGGCCACAGGGCAGAGCCUGGCCAAGAGCAGGGACUUCCCACAUCCUAGCUACCAGGGAAGCUGCACGUGCCCCACACCAGCAGGGUGUGGUUCAGACAUGGUUGAAGGCAAGGAUUUCCUCCCACAAGCUCAGCCAGCACCCCUCCUUCCUGUGGUGGUCUCUGUGGGGCAGCCAUUUGCCUACUUAGCUGGAGGGCUGGUUAAGACACAAAUCACUGAGCGGGUCUGAGGGGGCUGGAGGACCUGCUUCUCUCACAUUUCUGUCAGGAGGGGCCUCCGAAAGCCUUGCUCUCAGGGUGCUCACCGAGGGCCUGGAGGUCCCCAGACUGACACGUCCAAGUGAUGCCACCAGAGCCACUGGAUCCUGGGCGUUGCUUCCCAAAGUGCCACUCCCAGCUUUGUGGAGCACACAGAGAGGCCGCCUCUCUGAGGGGCUGCUGGGCACUCUGCUCAGCCCACAGGCUGCUGGGAUGGAUUCACGGAGAGAGAGGGAGGUGGACGUACGUCCCUCCCAGACUUGGGCUGGGCCCUUUUCUCAAAGGACUGCUGUGCCUCCUCACAAUUCCAGAAGGAAGGGAUUCUGAUUCCAGUUUUACGAAUAAGGAAAUUGAAGCUCCAAGGUCCUGAUGCUGUUAUUAGCAGAGCAAUGAUUCAAACUGGGGUCUGCAUCAAAAUCCUCUGCCUUCCAUGCAGGUCCUCCACCUGCCUUUGCAGUCUGCCCCCACUCCCUGCCCUGCAUCCUCCACAUGGGAAGUCGCUGGUGGGACAGGAGUGACUGGCCCGAUGGGCCCCUGACAGGGGUGGAUUUUAAUUUAUUGACCUGUCUGCCAGGGACCCAGGAUAAGUUGAUUUGCUACUGCGUGUCACAGACCUGCUUCCUUUGAAGGCUCUUUGUGAGGAUGGGGUGCCAGUGAAGCCCCUUACCAUGGGAAUGUAUAGAAUUGUCCACAGAGGCCCAGAUUUUCUGCCAAGCUCUCAGUGUGCUGCAGGAACCGGGCAGGGUGGAUGGGAAGUGGGUCUCUUGCUGCCUCUCAGCUGACACAAGGCUAGGCCAGGUGCACUGCUGGUGGUCAGGGAGCCCCUGCCCCACACUUCAUGGAUACAAUGCCUCUGCAACUUGGGGAGGGUGGGGCUGGGCUGGAGAUGUGGAGUCCCAGACUUUGCAGGGUUAGAGAUUCAUGAGUUCUGGGGAUGAACUCUGAACUCACCAUCAGGUGAGGCCACGAGCCCAGGGGCCGUUCCCUCCCGCACAUAGUGCUCUCCCAACAUAACGGUCAAGAUGCAGAUGCUCAAGAGUGCCAGGGGGACAUGUGAUGGCUUUUGGUCAUUUCUCUUAUUACUAAAUGUAAUAAACAUCAGACUUUUGAAAUAAUUUCUAAUAGUCCUUCCGUAAAAUUAACAGCAGCUGCGUUUACUGAGCACUUGCCUGGUGAGGGCCCU